UACGGCAGUGGCAAGCGUUAUCCGGAAUUAUUGAGCGUAAAGCGCCCGCAGGCGCUCUUGUAAGUCUGCUGUUAAAGCACGCAGCUCAACUCCAUUUCAGCAUUGCAGACUGUAGGACUAGAGCGUGGUAGGGGUACAGGCAAUUCCCGGUGUAGCGGUGAAAUGCGAACAUAUCGGAAAGAACACCUGAGGAGAAGGCGCUCUGCUGGCCCUCAUCUGACGCUCAUGCACGAAAGCCAGGAGAGCGAACGGGAUUAGAUACCCCUGUAGUCCUGGCCGUAAACGAUGAACACUAGGUGUCGGGGGAAUUGACCCCCUCGGAGUCGUAGCCAACCCGUUAAGUGUUCCGCCUGGGGAGUACGCACGCAAGUGUGAAACUCAAAGGAAUUGACGGGGGUCCGCACAAGCGGUGGAGUAUGUGGUUUAAUUCGAUGCAACGCGAAGAUCCUUCCCAGGGUUUGACAUCCUGCGAAUCUCUUGAGAACGAGAGAGGGCCCUCGGGAACGCAGCGGCAGGUGGUGCAUGGCUGUCGUCAGCUCGGGUCGUGAGAUGUCGGGAUAAGUUCCUCAACGACCGCAACGCCCGUCGUUAGCAGGCAGCAUUUAGUUGGGCACUCUAGCGAGACCCCCGGUGAUAAACCGGAGGAAGGCGUGGAUGACGCCAAGUCAUCAGACCCCUUUCAUCAUGGGCUACACCCGUACUCCAAUGCUGCGGCCAAAGGGCAGCAUACUCCCGAGAGCUAGCAAAUUCCAUAAACCGUGGCUCAGUUCGAAUCCUAGGAUGCAACUUGCGUCCGAGAAGGAGGAAUCCGCAGUAAUCGCAGGUCAGCAUUCUGCGGUGAAUACGUCUCCCGGGCCU
rnacentral:rRNA from 1 species